rnacentral:rRNA from 1 species
CCUACGGGGGGCAGCAGUGGGGAAUAUUGGGCAAUGGGCGCAAGCCUGACCCAGCAACGCCGCGUGAAGGAAGAAGGCCCUCGGGUUGUAAACUUCUUUUAACAGGGACGAAGAAAGUGACGGUACCUGUUGAAUAAGCCACGGCUAACUACGUGCCAGCAGCCGCGGUAAUACGUAGGUUGCAAGCGUUAUCCGGAUUUACUGGGUGUAAAGGGCGUGUAGGCGGGAGAGCAAGUCAGACGUGAAAGUCCAGGGCUCAAUCCUGGAACUGCGUUUGAAACUGUUCUUCUUGAGUGAUGGAGAGGCAGGCGGAAUUCGGGGUGUAGCGGUGAAAUGCGUAGAUAUACCGAAGAACACCGAUGGCGAAGGCAGCCUGCUGGACAUUAACUGACGCUGAGGCGCGAAAGCGUGGGGAGCAAACAGGAUUAGAUACCCGAGUAGUC